CAAACCUUCACGUAUGUAGCAAUGGAAUGUAUCAGGUUAGCGAAACCGCCGAAGCGUGAAUCUAGUGGACGAAUAGAGACUAGUGAAUCAUGCCGAGUGCGAGACAGUCGAGGAAGAGACUUAGAAAUGAGUCGGAUCAAGCCUCUCACUUUGUAGUAGAGUGACUAGAGUCUGACGCAGGACAUUGAGUGUCGUUCCCAGAAGGAAGAUUGUUUCCGAUCCUCCUCUAGACGUGGGAACAAAGGUUCUGGUUAGAUUUACAACCAGGAAGGGUCACACGAAGGAAGAGCUUGCUGUGCUAGAGUGGAGGUCGAAAGAGGCCAUGGAAGCCAGCUUGGACCGCAUGAUGAACCAAGUGGAGCUAGAUACAUCUCGGAACAAAGCCCAAAGCAGAGCUUGGGCCCCUGAGUUUUUUAGAAUGUUUGACCAAGAAAUAUAGUCAAUCAUUUUUAAAAGAUUCUAUGAACGCAAUUCAGCAGUCACUUAAUCAGAAGUGCCGGGAUGCUGCUAGCUCAAGAAGACAGAAAUUGAAGAGUUGUUCGAAAGAAGAGAUCUCACCCAGAAGUCUUUGUGUUUUUCAAGUGAGGAGGAUUGACAUUUGACUAUGUAGUAGAAAUUGCAAGUGCAUGGGUAUAUACUUUAUAGCUAUAUGAUGAUUAAGAUCCUCGAAGAUCUUGAAAAGAAUAAUUGCAAGUUCUUAAAAGAUUGUACAUGUGCCAAUUAGUGAACACACAAGUUCUUAGAAUUGCCACCAAAUUAAUUGUC